GCGGCGGGGGGGGUGCAGUCAACCACGUGGAUAACCUACCAUAUAAGCACUGGGACAUAACUUCGGGCAAACCGGCAGCUCAAUACCGGCAUCAAUAUUUUGCAACCGCAUGGUUCAAAAGUGAAAGCACGGUCUUGCUGUCACCUUAUAGAUGGAUCCAGCGCUGCAUUAGCUAGUUGGUAAGGUAACGGCUUACCAAGGCAACGAUGCAUAGCCGACCUGAGAGGGUGAUCGGCCACACUGGAACUGAGACACGGUCCAGACUCCUACGGGAGGCAGCAGUAGGGGAAUCUUCCCGCAAUGGGCGAAAGCCUGACGGAGCUACGGCCGCGUGAGUGAUGAAGGUCUUCGGAUCGUAAAACUCUGUUAUUAGGGAAGAACAUAUGUGUAAGUAACUGUGCACAUCUUGACGGUACCUAAUCAGAAAGCCACGGCUAACUACGUGCCAGCAGCCGCGGUAAUACGUAGGUGGCAAGCGUUAUCCGGAAUUAUUGGGCGUAAAGCGCGCGUAGCGGUUUUUUAAGUCUGAUGUGAAAGCCCAACGGCUCAACCUGGAGGGUCAUUGGAAACUGGAAAACUUGAGUGCAGAAGAGGCCACAUGGAAUUCCAUGUGUAGCGGUGAAAUGCGCAGAGAUAUGGAGGAACACCAGUGGCGAAGGCGACUUUCUGGUCUGUAACUGACGCUGAUGUGCGAAAGCGUGGGGAUCAAACAGGAUUAGAUACCUGGUAGUCCACGCCGUAAACGAUGAGCCCCCAGUGUUAGGGGGUUUCCGCCCCUUAGUGCUGCAGCUAACGCAUUAAGCACUCCGCCUGGGA
rnacentral:rRNA from 1 species